ensembl:snRNA U1 U1 spliceosomal RNA
AUACUUACCUGGCAGGGGCGAUACCAUGAUCACAAAGGUGGUUCACCCAGGGCGAGGCUCUGCCACUGCACUUGGGUGGUGCUGACCUUUGCGAAUUCCCCAAACGCAGGAAUCUUGACUGCAUAAUUUCUGGUAGUGGGGGACUGCGUUCGCGCUCUCCCCUG